GUAAGCUAAAAGAGAACAGCCACGACAGAGGAUACAGUGAAGAUUCAAAAAACGGUGGUGAAUAUUGAAAAGGCGUUGGAGGACACAUAAUAGAAUGCAAAGUCCACAAGGAGAGGGGCUUUGUGUCUUGUUUCACACUGUGUCCCCAGGCUUAGAAUAUUCUGGCAUCAGAAGGCACUCAGUAAACAUAGAGAGGAAGAAAGGAAGAAGAUGAAAUCAGGAGUACAGAUUAAAGUGUUAUCUUUGGAAGACAGGCAAGACAUCCUUUGGGACAGAAGGGAAGGAGAGAAAGCUGGGGAACAUGCAGAUAAUACAAGAGGUGCGGUUUGUGACUGAUGGCUGCUAUUUUCUCUGUGAGGUAGGAGGCUUGGCCAUCUGUUAAAAUGAGUGGACUGAAUCCAGACAACUUUGGACAUUCCUUCAUUUGAAGAAUUUUUACUGAACAAUUACAGACCAUUGAUUGAUACAGUGAAGAUCAGAAUGGCAUAGUUUUCCUGUCUUCAUGGAGAUGAAUGAAUGAACUGUAUUUUUUAUUAGCCUAAGCAUGAAUUCUUCCCAAAUUUCCUCCAUGAACCAUAGGAUCCUACCUCUUAACCAUUUUAUGAAAAUUCUAUGGUGAAUUGAGGUCCUCAAGUUGUCUGACAAUAUCUGAUUUUGCCACGGUCAUGUGGGAAAAGUAGGCAUGUGAGCAAGUCAUAGUUUUACUUGUUUGGAAGAUUCUUCUAAUUAUGUCAAGAUGAAAGGUUUUAUACUGUGUAGAAGGCAGUGUGAGAGAAGUGGACAGUAGAACUCCUAUUUGGUGGGCCAGUGGCUAUAUUUUAAAAUAUGAAGGAUACAUAUUUGACUGUUUAAGUACAAUGAUCUGCCAUGGAUCUAUACUUUUGGGCUGCUGUCUUUUAGGCUAAAGCAAUUAAAGGCAAUGUAAUGAACAUGGUUAUCUGUGGAUGCCCCUUUGAUUGCCAUUGUAUUAUGCUUUACACUGUGAUGGCUCUCUCUUUGAGGAGAGACGCUGUUCCUCCAGGGAGAUAAAAUAUAAAAUAUGAAUCUUACCCUUAAGCAUACACUUCUCCCCACUCUCAAUAUACAGUGGCUCUGGAAUUCAUGCUUCACUUGGGAGUUGAAAGUUUGCGUUUAUAAUUUUAUAUUCUUAUUACAGGCCAGGCUAUUGAGAUUAGAAAGUCUUUAUUUUUCAGUUGGAGUGUGAUGAGCCAUAUUCCCUAUUGUAAACAGCCAUAUUAACCAAGAUAAUUUAAUUUGGAAUGAUUGCUUUUUGCCUUUGAGCUGUAGAUCAAAAGGUUCCAUUAUAUGUACAAAUAAAGUAAAAAAAAAUUUUUUCUGUGAAUGUUACAAAAUUUUUUUAUUGUGGUAAAAAACACGUAAGAUCUUUCCUCUUAAAUU
rnacentral:lncRNA from 1 species